UCGCGGACUCCAGAGACGGAGUUCUUCAGUUCGGCUGGACCGGAGACAGGUGCUGCAUGGCUGUCGUCAGCUCGUGUCGUGAGAUGUUGGGUUAAGUCCCGNAACGAGCGCAACCCCCGUCCUUAGUUGCUACCAUUUAGUUGAGCACUCUAAGGAGACUGCCGGUGAUAAGCCGCGAGGAAGGUGGGGAUGACGUCAAGUCCUCAUGGCCCUUACGGGCUGGGCUACACACGUGCUACAAUGGCGGUGACAAUGGGAAGCGAAGACGCAAGUCCUAGCAAAUCUCAAAAAGCCGUCUCAGUUCGGAUUGGGCUCUGCAACUCGAGCCCAUGAAGUUGGAAUCGCUAGUAAUCGUGGAUCAGCACGCCACGGUGAAUACGUUCCCGGGCCUUGUACACACCGCCCGUCACACCAUGGGAGUUGGUUUUACCUGAAGACGGUGCGCUAACCGCAAGGAGGCAGCCGGCCACGGUAGGGUCAGCGACUGGGGUGAAGUCGUAACAAGGUAGGCGUAGAUGA
rnacentral:rRNA from 1 species